rnacentral:rRNA from 1 species
AAGGAUCAUUACCGAGUUUUCGGGCUUCGG